ensembl:lncRNA NAMPT-AS1 NAMPT antisense RNA 1
GCAGUGCGCGGAGGCGGGGCGGGGAGGAGGACGUGAUGCACGCGCUCUUCCUCCCAGACGCCAGCUCUGGGAAGCUGGAGGCAGCGGGGCAGCCCCGGCGCGUGACCCGGGCGCUUACCUAAGUUCGAGUUCCCGGCACGGGCGCGGGAGGGCGGGGCCUGGAGGGGGCGUUCCCAGCUUUGCCAGUGCCACGAGGAGCCGGUUCGCCCGCCCCGCCUGGGACCUUCCGUCCUACCCAGUCCUGGCCGGUUUUCUGGGUCCUCCUGAAGUCACGCCACCCGGCUAGGGGGCGAGGAGCCUCCUACUGCCCAUCUUCCCGUCCACCACGCGCAGUUACUCACCUUUGUCUCCGGCCUGGAUUAAGGAUCCAGCCUUUCGCCUCCAUCCCUCUUGUCCCUCCUGAUCCUCCUGACCCUGUCUUUAAGAUCCCAGGAGCUGCGGUGAGGAGUGAGGCUGAGGGGCCCCUUUCAUCUGAUGCAGCGACUCCGCUUUCCUCCGGCGGCUCUGUCUAUGGCUGAGCUCUUUGAUCCUUUGAGAGAUGGUUUGACUUUUCCCGAGCAAAGAGCCUGCGUUGAAAAGCGGGGGUGGAAUUCAGUCCUCACAGAUAAUGAGGGGACAAGACCUAAUUGAACCGAGUAUUGCCGGGAAGGAAAAGGCAACGGGCCAAGCCUUUGACAGGGUGCGACACUGACUUUUAUCAUCGUUAUAGUCUUUAAAUCCUGGGAAACGAGUUGGCAACCCCAAAAUAAAGAAGUGUAAUGACGUCUGAUGACUUCACCCAAAUACAGACCAUUCCAAGAAAGACUUGCGCAGUUCUCAUGCGUGGUUGCGUUUUUGCAUAAAACUAAGAUUCCCUUUGUCCGCAUGUUUAAUAGCUUAAAAAUAAAUUGAGGUUUUUAUCGGAUAAAAGUAGCCAGGAAAAAGUGAUACAGUGAAAACGAUUACAGGAUAUUUAUAGACUUGUCUUUCAAGUUAUUAGAAGUCUCAUUCUAUCUGGGGGCAGUGAUGGUGGUGGUGGUAGUGGAACUUGUGAAUUGAGAUUCAUAGUGGAACUUGUGAAUUGAGAUUCAUCUCGAAACUGGAGGCAUGGCUGAGACUUCUAAUAAAGACAACCUCAGUCAACACUA